GAUGAACGCUGGCGGCGUGCCUAAUACAUGCAAGUCGAGCGAACAGACGAGGAGCUUGCUCCUCUGACGUUAGCGGCGGACGGGUGAGUAACACGUGGAUAACCUACCCAUAAGACUGGGAUAACUUCGGGAAACCGGAGCUAAUACCGGAUAAUAUAUUGAACCGCAUGGUUCAAUAGUGAAAGACGGUUUUGCUGUCACUUAUAGAUGGAUCCGCGCCGCAUUAGCUAGUUGGUAAGGUAACGGCUUACCAAGGCAACGAUGCGUAGCCGACCUGAGAGGGUGAUCGGCCACACCGGAACUGAGACACGGUCCAGACUCCUACGGGAGGCAGCAGUAGGGAAUCUUCCGCAAUGGGCGAAAGCUUGACGGAGCAACGCCGCGUGAGUGAUGAAGGUCUUCGGAUCGUAAAACUCUGUUAUUAGGGAAGAACAAAUGUGUAAGUAACUAUGCACGUCUUGACGGUACCUAAUCAGAAAGCCACGGCUAACUACGUG
rnacentral:rRNA from 1 species